rnacentral:misc_RNA from 1 species
CUUCCUUUCUCUUUGUGUCUUUACGCGGUCCGUUCAAUUUAGUGAUUUUGCUAUUUGUUUCCUGUUGUUUUUGGAUGGUAUAGUGGCGGAUUUGACUUAGAUUCAACUUUGAAGUCAAUUUGGUUAAAUUUAUUUGUACUGAUUUGUUAACUGGUACACUUUAUUUGAACAGUUAAUUCAUGAUUUUCGAUCUAAGGAUAGAUAAUAUUCUCAAAAUUUUUAUUUUUGAUGAAUAAGGGUUGGAAACACUGUUUUCUUUUCUGAUUUUGCUUCUAAUGUUUUGGGGAACUGAGAAACAUGGCUUUGGGAGACAAGAAUAUGGGAAUUUGAUAGAGAAAUGAGUAACCCCUUUUUUUAAUGGGUAACUUUUAAGUAUCAGUAUCCUGAAUGCCAGACUAACAUGAACAAAGGAGGCUGAAAAACCAAUAACUGUAUGAUCUCUAGUGCAUACAAAACUUCCAUAUUGCCAGGCCAAUUUUGGCUUGGUUUAUUGAGUUAACCCAUCUUGGCUGUGUUUUAGAGAAGAACAUUAGGUUUAAAAUCUUACAACUAUGUUGCCUGAGAUCCAAACUUCUGAACACUACAUUGUUGAAGACUAAAGUCCUGCCCUCAGUGUCCCAUGAUUAAGCCUUCUGAUACACUGAAGUAGCAAAACUUCUUGUCACCUUGAUCUCCUUGUUCAGUGCCCAUUUGCUUGGAUGGAAAUGAGGAGCAUCAACAGAACUUUAAUGCAUUAGAGCAGCACUUCGAAUGACCAGAACUUUAAUGCAUUCAUUACAUGCGAGAUAGUUGUCCAACUAGAGCAAAUAACUUAUUGGCUAUCGCUACUAUCCUUUUGACUAAGUAUCAAUUGGUGAUAACAGAAAACAUGACAUCUAUUUCAUCUUAGGUCAGGUUCAACAGAAAUUAAAUUUUGAUAAGGGAUCCACGGCAUUAUGUUUGUCAAUGCUUUUGUUCUUUGCUUUCUCUAUUUACAUGUGGAAAAUUUACUUAGAAUAUUUGGAAAAGUUCUACUUUUUAGCUUGAGGUAAAGGCUUCAGGUACAGUAUUUGUGAAGUUGAUGCCCACCUAAAAACCUCUAUCUGUCUUCUGUAAUGCUGUUGGAUAUAAAUAAGUCAUUGACGUGCUGUUUGGUUACCAGGGAUGAAUAUAUCAGGAUAGGAAUCAAAUUUUCAUUCCUUUUCGUUAUGUUUGAUUGCUCUGAAAGGAAUGGAAGUGAUAAAUCGUAAAUGGAUGAGUUUUAAUUUUGUUCCUACUUGAUUAUCAAGUGUUAGAAAUUGGAAAUGCAAAUGAGCUUUCCAUUCCAUUCCCUCUCUUUUAUGAAUGGUAAAAAAUUCGUAGCCCUCCAUUUCACUUCCUUAGCUCAGUAGUAAGUGGGGACUCUAGGCUUGGGCUGAUACUUGAAUGUCAUUGUGAAGACUGUGCCAGCUGUAUCUAAUUAACAUGUCACCUGAUAAUUUUGUUUUCUUCAGGAGAAUUAUGGUGGGUAUAUGGUCGCAUUUGCUGGUAGAAAAUAUGCUGCAAGGUCUCUUCCUGCUUUUGUUGCAAACAGCACGUACACUGUAACAAGUUUCACUCUUGUGCUUGAGUUUAAGAAGGGCCGGCUACAAAACCUUUACUGGAAAAGGGAUGGAUGCGCUAGAUGUACAGGAAACAAUAACUUUGUCUGUCUUAACAAUCAGGACUGUGCAAUCAGAACAUCAAACUGCAAAAACCGUGGAGGUUCAGUAGAUUGCAGCCUUGGUAUCCAAUUGGCAUUCUCUGGCACAGAUAAGCAUCUUGCGGUUCUCAACUCGUGGUAUGAGGUGGAAAAUCUGAGGCAGUACUCUCUUUUUGGCCUUUACUCAAAUCUCAGGAAUUCUCUCACUAGCCAGUACAAUAAGAUAUUUUAGUUGUGCUUGUAGAAGUUCUGCUCCUGAUUUGUUAUAAUUCCACCCCCUCCUCACACCCUCAAACCAACACAAAAAGAAAAAAGUUACCUACACCUCGACUCUUUUCUGAUGGAUGCUUCAUUUCCCUGUUGCCAUCUCUUUGUAGUUGUUGCGUGUAAAUUUUGGAAUACAACCGAUUAUUUGUGAUUAUAUGUGAAGAGAAAUUGUUAUGGUUGAAAUAUUUCUUCAUGAUAACCAAAUUGCAAAUUGAACCUUCUUAAGUUUGAAGAUGGUUGACCUGUUCUGUUGUUGUUGGCUUGUAAGCUCGACAAUGUGAGUUGUGUG